rnacentral:rRNA from 1 species
CCUACGGGAGGCAGCAGUGGGGAAUUUUGGACAAUGGGCGAAAGCCUGAUCCAGCCAUGCCGCGUGCAGGAUGAAGGCCUUCGGGUUGUAAACUGCUUUUGUACGGAACGAAAAGCCUCUUUCUAAUAAAGAGGGGUCAUGACGGUACCGUAAGAAUAAGCACCGGCUAACUACGUGCCAGCAGCCGCGGUAAUACGUAGGGUGCGAGCGUUAAUCGGAAUUACUGGGCGUAAAGCGUGCGCAGGCGGUUAUAUAAGACAGUUGUGAAAUCCCCGGGCUCAACCUGGGAACUGCAUCUGUGACUGUAUAGCUAGAGUACGGUAGAGGGGGAUGGAAUUCCGCGUGUAGCAGUGAAAUGCGUAGAUAUGCGGAGGAACACCGAUGGCGAAGGCAAUCCCCUGGACCUGUACUGACGCUCAUGCACGAAAGCGUGGGGAGCAAACAGGAUUAGAUACCCUGGUAGUCCACGCCCUAAACGAUGUCAACUGGUUGUUGGGAAUUCACUUUCUCAGUAACGAAGCUAACGCGUGAAGUUGACCGCCUGGGGAGUACGGCCGCAAGGUUGAAACUUCAAAGGAAUUGACGG